GGUACAGUGGUACAGUGUGGUUUGAGUGCUGGACUAAGAUUCCAGGAGACCAGGCUUUGAAUCCCUGCUCAGCCA